CCUCCUGGCUGCUGCUUAUAACAGAGCGACAGGUGAUUAGAUAACAAGGCCCAGGUGGGCCAUCUACGCAGCUCUUGCUGAUUUCGAGGCCAUUCCUGGCACACCCCAGUUCGCUGCAGGCCCGCGGGCCACGCCCCCUCCACAGUUAGCUUCAGAAUAGCAAUGUUAUCACAAAGAAUAAGGGACCUAUUAUACUCUAGAAAUGUUGGUCUUACUUAAAAAUGCACGCGUUUAGUUGUGUUCAGUGUUAAAAUAUUAUAUGUCUCUUACGGAAAUACAUUUUAAAAUAUUUGGCUUUUUGGCUCUCUCAGCCAAAAAGGUUCCCGACCCCUGCCCUAAGGGUUCACAUAAAACAAAACUUGGAAUUCCAUCUUGCAUAAGUUGAGAGAAAAGCAACUAUUGUGAGACUAAAUGAUUAACACUUCAUUUUAAUAUAAUCAUUACACAUUAUUCCAGCAGUGCCUAUAAAACACCACUAGAUGCCAGCAUUGCUCAUCAAACAAUAAAGGUCUUGAAAAGAUGAGCACCUGAUGAUGUGUUUGACAGAAAAGCAGCUGGAAGGAGGGACCGAUGCUGUUCAUAAACUACUGUACAUUUGGUUCUAUUGUUUUUCAUACUUUAUUUCUUAUCUGAAUGUGUAUUUUUCUUUUUAAAAAGGCAUGUGAAGGUGUUAAAACUGUGCUGUUUUGAGGGGCCAAGCAUCGAUUCCAUUGAUUAAUUUCAUCACAAUGGGAAGAAACUGAUUGAAGUGUUUUGGGUUGAGAGCUCUGUCAGGUAAGCCUUUAAGCUUGCGAGUUCAAACUUGUAUGUCGGUGAUGCUCUGCUUCUUCCUGCUCCUUCUCGGACACGUUGAAGCGUGCAAGUGUGGAUGUGUGCUGCAUCAGCAUGUAAACACAAACUCACAGCAUAUCCAUGAUAUCAACAUCUUACUUGACCAAGCCUGACGUGUUCUUCAGCACCGUGGAUGCAAACAGCUGCGACACGCCCAGCAAACUGACUCCAUCCACCUCCACGAUCUGGUCAUUCACCUGGAUCCUAAGGUAAAGGCAAACAAUUGACGUCCAUGGCACCUAGUUUCCAGAGGCUACAUUUAAUGGAAGAUGCUGCCACAAAACAGCACGAUAAAACUGCCAUUUUACAUUUAAAGUCUCCGCCUGUAUAUUUCUAGUAUGUGCACAGCUGAGAAGUGGUCAGCCUUGCUUCCUCUGACAUCAUCCAUCAUUUGGGCUAACCAACUCCCCUUGAAAUGUCCAGCAUGCACUUAUAUUCCCAAAGUCUUGUGUUGAGUUUCUAAUCAUGUUCAUCCAGGCCACAUAUAAGCCAUAUUUGAUUUCCUAAGAAAAAAGACUGGCAGAUAUGGCAACGUACCUGCCAUCUUUGUGUGUUUGGCCUCCUUCGGUGACAGUCUUGACAAAGAUUCCGAGUUUUUCCAGGCCCUGGUCCGCUCCUACUCCCAUCCCUAUGAUACUGAUACCCAGGCCAUCGUCUCCUGGAGGUUUGGGGAAAGAGACCAAGCUUCUUGUGAUGAUUUGUUAUGUGUGAGGCAUGGCUUUCUCUUUAGUUUUCUGAUCUGGCAGAAAAAGACAAACCCUUUUGUAUUUCCACUUGAAAAACAUCCAUCUUGUCCACUCGCUUCUCCAGCUCGUACUCGGCCGAGGCGGACACGGGGUCGAUGUCUUCAUUGUGUCGGUGGUAGUCCGCGUUGGAGUAGGUGUUGUAGACCUGGGCGUGACGAAGAGCACACAAGUGAACUGACAGUAGCUGAGCUGUGAAGACACACACCCGCAUGCUACACUUCUUUAUGUUCCCAAGAAGCUCAAAAGUGAGUUCCUUUACAGACUGCAGCAGUUUAUGCUGAUGGAACCCUGACAGAGUCAAGCAAGUAGGAUCUGGGAUUUCCUCCACCCCGACAAUGCAAACAUGGCUCUGGCCUAACGUUUCUGCACAAACACAAGCUUGGUAUCGCUAUAAAAAACACUGAACUUUCAAAAACAUCUCCUCACCUUGAUUGGUGCUGAUGAGAAGCAGACUUUUCGACUUGAGUUUUCUGCUGCAUCUCCAUCAUCUCCAUCAGGCAGUUGAGGAAUGCCGGGAAUUUCUUGGUAUUCCAAUGAAAGCAAAGAAGUGUCCACACCUCGCACGGGAGAUGUUACAUCACACUCCUGUCCUGGAGAUUUGACCUCCCUGCCUCCUUCAACCUUUCCAUCGUCAUCUUCUGCCAAUACCUUCUGCUCCAUGACGGCACAUUCCUGCAGCUCAGGUGUCACCUUCCCCGCCUUUGUAGACCUUAGGCUCUGCACUUCAACCAUCCCAUAGAGCUCCUCUCUUGGCUCGUCAGCAUGUCGGUUCAGCUCCUCCCUCUCAGUCUCACGACAUUGUUGGCUCACUUGCUCGUAGUUGUCAGCUAUCUUAGGACAGUCACUUGUGUUUAGUCCCACCGUCUCCACACUGGGCUCUUCAAAAACUUCAUCCACCAGCUCUUCAACAUUUUCCCCCAUCAGCUCAUCACUUUUAAUCGCGACCCAUUCCUUCUCCUCGCUUUCAUCGCUAUCCGAGGACUUCACGUAGACAAGCUCAGCCCUGAGUGGCUCUUCAGGGUUCAAGCAUGGCUCCACAAUCAUUUCUUUGGCCUCUUCUUCUCUUUGAGUUUCGGAGCCUACACAGGAAGGAGACCCACCGAGGAGAUUGGAUGUAAGAGAUUUAGGGUCUGUUGUUGGAAUGCACAUAUUUCUAGUGAGUUCUUUUGUGCAUUUGUCUGGAACCAAGCUCUCUUUUUCUUUGCUCAGACUACAUCUGGACACCUGAGCCGGAGAAGUGCCCGUGGAAACCUUGGUCUCAAACAACUUCCUGGUCACAGAGAACUUUUGGGCCAGGGCAGCUCUGUCUAUAUCCCUCAUCUCCUCUGAUCUGGCUGCUUUAUCUUGCAAGAAGGCUUCAGGUGUGCAAAUGCUGGCGACAGAACCCAUGACCGGACGUCUGCAGGCAGAAAAAGGUGACGUUUGGAGCUGCAGGCUCGGGCUUUGCGGCGAAAGGAGGGUGCUUGUAGAGCCGGAGCUACACUGCACCGAGCCACCAUCUUGUUUCGACUGUUGGCUGUCCAUUUGGAGGAAGAUGUUGUCUCGGAUUUUACUCCCUCUGCUGCUGUGGGUUCUUGGUCGGCCGCACACAAGGGGAUCGGAGGAACUGGUUGGUAGUGCGGAGGGGUGAAGGUCAGCACACUGGGCAGGGGCAGCUUUGGAGCCAUGCUUCAGGCUGGUCCCACUGUCAAAGGAGCAUUUAAUGGCAUGGAAGUCGGUCUCGUAUGUGAUCCUGUGAGGAGAGGCGCUUCUGCCUUUGUGGUCUGUACGCAUCUUUGGAGGAUGGACGUCCACUGAUAUACUUCUCAGGUAGUGUGCAAGAGAUAUUGUAGAACUUUAAGGUGAGCUGGUUAAGGAAGUUAUCCGUGAACUUCAGGUAGGCUGGUCCCACUGUCAAAGGAGCAUUUAAUGGCAUGGAAGUCAGUCUCGUAUGUGAUCCUGCGAGGAGGCACUUCUUCUUUUUAUAAAACACUGGCCAUACAGCAAUAGAUGAUAUCCAUUACCUGACAUCUGACAUGUUAGCCACCUCUCUUUCUUUAGAAUAUAUAUUUUCUGAUGGAUCUCCUCUCUAUUUUAUGCUGCAGCUGUUACAUAUACUGUAAUUUUGUACACUGUAAACCCGAACACUUCUACAAACUCAUAACUAUUGCCGUCAACUAAACCAAAGUGAGUUGAUUAGUUCACCCGACACUGAAACAUUAAGUUUUCCUAACAAAUAAUAGCGUUUUGAGUUGACAACGGUUAGUAAGUGUAAGUGAACACUGUCCCUCAACUUGAAAAGUCCAAGUUAAAGGGCGCGCGUGAGGGGACGUGAUGUCUGACGCCACGACCCCUAACGGUUUAGGGCACGUAUCCAGAAAAUUCGAGAUGGCUGGACGCUAGUGGGAGGUGAGGCGGGAGCGAAGUAAAGUGGAAAAAGAGUGUUAUUCGUCAAAAAACCCACACGACAACGCUCAUUUUUUCGCUGUGCUAUUGUAAAAUUGUCUUUUAUCUGUGUUUUGUGUUCCGGGGGACCCUGACUCCAAAAUUUGAACGUUUCGCGGGUGAAGCCAGUGACUAACGUAGUAUAUUAACGUUUCAAAAGUUUAAUUCAGUGUACUUAGGCUAUCUUUUGUAAGACGCUGUGAAUGUUAUUUAUGUGAAAGCGUAUUACUUUAUUGUCAGUGUUGUUGCUAGGCCCAGGUCGCUAACGUUACUUUGUUACUGUCAACGACGUAAUGUUAACGUUAAGGGUAACGUCACGGAAACAGCCCUCCUUUGCCUUGAUUAAUAUGCAGAGGACGACGUGUUUCAAAUAUUGGUGAUAUGUUUUAAUUAAAGCACUUACUGCAUAUGUGAAAGUUUUUUUUUAAUUAUUAGACAUUGGAGAAAAAAGUUCAGGAGGUUUGUCUAACGGAGUCGCCCUCGCCAAUAAGGGAUUGACAACAUAAUACAGUACACUGUUCAUAAUCAUAUGCAUUUUGCAUCCUAAGUGACAUUAAACUGUUUGUGCUCUCUGUUAUGUUGAAGUACCAUAGAGUGGUUGGAAAUAAAGUUUGUCAUUUUGAGCAACACUGCUGAUUAUAUUGAUCUUGUGUGACGUCAUGCACACAACCUUUGCCCUUCGCCCGCAACACAUAGUUCAAGGAAGUCCAGGGGUGCGGGAAUUCCUGGAGAAUAGUCCGGCCUUGCGAAUGCAGUCACAGGUGUUUGCAGAGUUUCAUGGUAUUACACAUGUGGAUCUACGCAACCAGUUCUACUGUCAACUUGCCCACUACACACCAAAACUACUUGCACUGUAUCCAUUUUGAUAAACAUGUCUGUUAAAAUGUUGAAGGCACUUUUGUGUAUGCCCAGUGGGCUUUUUAUGACUUUAGAAUGAGAGGUAAAUAUUUUGUUAGUUUUAUUGUACAGCAUCCUUGACCUCACUGAUCUGAGUCAGACCUCAGUUGUAAUGAUGAUUCUGUUAUUUAUAUUAUAGUUUCUUUUAUUUAUUGUAUUUUAUUCUGUACUAUUUGGUAUGUUUUUUUUUUUUUCCUCAUUUGCACAAAUUUAGAUGUCUGUGCUGCUGCUUUCAGAACUUUUUUUUUUCUCCCUUGAGAAAAUACAUUGCAGAGAAAGGGAAGUUUGUUCAUCCCCGAUGAUUCAAAAUAGGCUGCUAAAAUAUAUUUGUGGAAAAAAAGAAGAAAAAAUUCGACUCCAGGUGUUGCACUUGAAUGUUAUUUGACAUUUCACAGUUUUACUACGCCUGU